AAGUCGUAACAAGGUUUCCGUAGGUGAACCUGCGGAAGGAUCAUUACAAGUGAGGCUACCGAACGUUGGAAACAGCGGUUAGGAGCUUACACCCACCCGUGUUUACAUACUAUUGUUGCUUUGGCGGGCCGUGGCCUCCACUGCGGGCUCUGCUCGUGUGUGCCCGCCAGAGAACCAAACUCUGAAUGUUAGUGAUGUCUGAGUACUAUCUAAUAGUUAAAACUUUCAACAACGGAUCUCUUGGUUCUGGCAUCGAUGAAGAACGCAGCGAAAUGCGAUAAGUAAUGUGAAUUGCAGAAUUCAGUGAAUCAUCGAAUCUUUGAACGCAUCUUGCGCUCCUUGGUAUUCCGAGGAGCAUGCCUGUUUGAGUGUCAUCAAAAGUUCUCAACCACACCGGUUUCUCUGGUGUGGCUUGGAUUUGGGGGUUUGCAGGCUUUCAAGUCGGCUCUCCUGAAAAAGAUUAGCGGUAUCUGAGCAGAAACCAAGCCUCGGGCGUGAUAAUUAUCUAUGCCUUGGUGUAUAAUCUGUGUGGGCUGCUUAUAACCGGAGAGUGUUGACAGAUUUGACCUCAAAUCAGGUAGGACUACCCGCUGAACUUAA
rnacentral:rRNA from 1 species